GUGCAUUGUAGUUGCAUUGCAUG
rnacentral:miRNA from 2 species